UACGGAGGGGGCUAGCGUUGUCCGAAGUUACUGGGCGUAAAGCGCGCGUAGGCGGGUUGGUAAGUCCGCUGUGAAAGCCCGGAACUCAACUCCGGAGGGUCGGUGGAUACUGCCAGUCUUGAAGGUGCUAGGGGGAGAUGGAAUUACCGGUGUAGCGGUGAAAUGCGUAGAUAUCGGUAGGAACACCAGUGGCGAAGGCGGUCUCCUGGGGCAUUCUUGACGCUGAGGCGCGAAAGCGUGGGGAGCGAACAGG
rnacentral:rRNA from 1 species